CGGGGUGUGGCGCAGCUUGGUAGCGCACCUGCAUGGGGUGCAGGUGGUCGCCGGUUCAAAUCCGGCCACCCCGACCA
rnacentral:tRNA from 1 species